CUACGGGGGGCAGCAGUGGGGAAUAUUGGACAAUGGGGGAAACCCUGAUCCAGCAAUGCCGCGUGUGUGAAGAAGGCCUGCGGGUUGUAAAGCACUUUCGGUUGGGAGGACUGCUUCUAGCACUAAUAUUGUUGGAAGUUGACGUUACCUUCAGAAGAAGCACCGGCUAACUCCGUGCCAGCAGCCGCGGUAAUACGGAAGGUGCAAGCGUUAAUCGGAAUUACUGGGCGUAAAGCGCGCGUAGGCGGCUAGAUCAGUCGGGUGUGAAAGCCCCGGGCUUAACCUGGGAACUGCAUCCGAUACUGUCUAGCUUGAGUACAGGAGAGGAGAGUGGAAUUCCACAUGUAGCGGUGAAAUGCGUAGAUAUGUGGAGGAACACCAAUGGCGAAGGCAGCUCUCUGGCCUGAUACUGACGCUGAGGUGCGAAAGCGUGGGGAGCAAACAGGAUUAGAUACCCCAGUAGUC
rnacentral:rRNA from 1 species